CAGCCCUAAACGAUGCGCGUUAGGUGUAUCGGUGACCACGAGUCACCGAGGUGCCGAAGGGAAACCGUGAAACGUGCCGCCUGGGAAGUACGGUCGCAAGGCUGAAACUUAAAGGAAUUGGCGGGGAGCACCGCAACGGGAGGAGCGUGCGGUUCAAUUGGAUUCAACGCCGAAAAACUCACCAGGAGCGACGGAUAUAUGAAGGUCAAGCUGAUGACUUUACCUGAUUUUCCGAGAGGAGGUGCAUGGCGUAGUCGUGU
rnacentral:rRNA from 1 species